ensembl:lncRNA
GGUGAGCAAAACCUCAGUGUCAGAUGGAACACACUGUGAUGACCUGUGGAUAGAAGUUUUUUUUCUUUUCCAGUCGACUUGCUAAUGUCUGCUGGCGUUCUUUUAGCUAAAGUCUUGAGAUCUGCUCCUGGGCCAGGAGGUGGGGAGACAAUGCAGAAAUUGCUUCCUCUGGAACAGCCUUCAUUGGAAUUCUGCGAAAGUGAAGGCCAUUUGGAACUUAGAGAGAGAGAUGGUUCUGGCCAAUCAGGAAGGAAAAUGGUGUCUGGAGGCAGGGAGACCUGGAGCGGAUCCCAGCUCUGCCACAUCUGGAGAGUCUAACUUCAGGUGCUGACUGUCUUCGAGCAGACUGACCCUCUCUCUGGACCUUGGAUCUCUGGCCAUGGGGAUACGGUGAAGCCACGGCGAUGAGCUUUGCUCCUGAUGCACUGUCUGAUGCUGGGCCAGACUCCACCUCUCCCUCACUCCGGCCUCUGUCUUCUCUGCCUAUUUGGUCAAGAGAAAAAAACUCUCAUCAGCCUCUUGCCUUCCAAAGCGACGCACAGAUGAAGCAGAGGAGACAUCAUCAAUGCCACUUUUACGGUGUCGUGAAAGGGCAUUACCGUGGAGAGGCUGUCGGAGGGGAGGCGCUCUGGAAGAGAGGGGGCCGAGUCCUGGGGGCCGGCUCGGUGGGUUUUCUCCCUGCCGGUGUGAGUCUGGAGGAGCUAGGACAAUUAGGCGGCAGGGGCAGCCUGGAAUCCUUUGCGUCUUCUGGAACAGCUGCUUAAAUACACAGCCCCGCAAUCAACAGGCCGCCCCCUGUCAUCGGAGAGGCUGCGGGGCUGGCCGCCAUGAGAUGAGGCCCCGCCGCCUCUCAUCUCCGAGCUCUGUCCUGGACCCCAGGGCCGGGCAGCAGGCCGGGGCGGGUCUGCACACCGCUCCUCCCGAGGAUGAGGAUGGGGUGGGCAGGAGGUGGCACCGUCUCGAGACAUCCCACCAUGAGGCUCAGGACAUCAUUCAGCACUGCCAAGUGGCUUCUCAGCCCCAGUCGUCUUAAUUCAAGUUGUCAUUCAUAGACUCGCAGAAAACUAAAAUCAAUAAGUGGUGAAAAUGGGCUUUAAAGGCAAAGUCAAGUCACAGAGGACAGAGGAAAACAUUUUUUGCCUUGAGGGGUGACAUUUUCCUGCCUGUUUAGAAUGGCUGGCCCUGGGGCCUGUGUUUAAAAAAACUUGGGGGGGGGGCAGGGGAGAGGGGAGAAAGUGAGUGAAUUUUCCUUUUAAAGUUGCACAGGUGUCCAUUGGACAAGACCUCAGUGGUGGGCCACCAUUUGAUUGGGCCACAGAGAACAAUGAGGAUGAUGGUAUUUUGGAUGGGUCUGUAUUUUACCCCAAGGCCACAGCACAUAUGUUUUGUGAUGUCUGUCUGCUGAUUGCUGUGUCACUUCCUGCCAGUUGACGUACUUCUCUGGGUCAUAGUCUUCUUAACCAGAAAAUGGAGUCAGACAAGAUGCAAUGAUUUUCAGCUUGUUGGGUGGUGAGAAACCAUAGCAGAUGUGCCAUGGGGACAUCAGGGUGGCAGUUGAGGUCAGGGGUUAGGGCUCUGGUCCUUUUGCCUUGAUAGGUGCUCAGCCGAAGAUUUCAUCUGAAUUUAGAAUUUUGUGGCAGAGAUAAAAGUUUGGGGAAAAAAAUCACUGGAGUUUGGGUUUCCAAAUUUCCUCCACUUCUGAGGGGCUACGAACAUCUGUGGCAUGCCUAUAAGUUGUUCCUGGAAACCCAGCUUGGAUUAAUUCCACCUUCUUCCGGUGACCAGGGUAGGCCAGCAGGAGCAGAGAG